rnacentral:tRNA from 1 species
GGUAUUAUACUUUAUUAAAGAAGAUAUGAUUUGCAAUCAUACAGAAAGGGUUACCUUUAAUACCA